GGAUAUAGCUCAGUGGUCAGAGUAUUGGACUCGUAAUUUAAAGGCUUGGGUUCAAAUUCUGUACUUUUAACU
rnacentral:tRNA from 1 species